CUUACUGCAUAUUGGGUUCAGACGAAGAAGGUGUGUCAAAGUUUCCUCUAGGAGGCCAAGAAUAUCUUAUAUGCAGCAGAGGCAGAUUCUUCAACUUUGAGAUUGAUCCAAAUACUUUGGGUCCGAUAGGAUGCACGAUAUGUCCUCAACACACCCAUUACAUGGACAGCAGAAACUUCUGCCCACAAUGUAAACAGUGCACAGUCUGCGGUGACAAUGAAGUGGAGAUCCAACCCUGUAUCCCAUAUCGCAACAGAAUUUGUGAGCCAACAAUCAUCGCUCCAUCCAACGUGACAGUUGGAAACCAAUACUAUUUAACUACCCUGGAUUCGA